rnacentral:lncRNA from 1 species
UAAUUAAACUUUAUUAAAAUUAUAAUAUUUGAUUUCUAUGCGUGUAAUGCCUCAGUAGUCCCACAUUGAAUGAAAAAAUAAUUCUAAUUAAAAUAUAUGAAUCCUAUAGGCUAAUAAUAAUAACCGGAUUUAAGUAUUUUAGGUCGGUGGUUUGGACCCAACAAGUUAUUAUUGCUAGCGAGUCGAUCGAAUCGUUGUAUUUGAUAUCAGAACUAUAUUACCAGUCAGAAGUGUGAGUGCUAAGUGUCAUGCAAGGCAAAAUGCUAUAUCAACCUACAUUGGAUUUAUAAUAUAUAGUCAUUAGAAUACAUGAGGCUUACGCAGAUUUAUAAAAUAUAGUCCCUAGAAUACAUGAGGUCCUUAGAAUACAUGAGGCCUACACCCUAGUAAUAAUAACUGUGUUUAAGAGGAGCAAACAAAAAAAAGUCAAAUUGAGAGUUUUCUUUAGAGAGAUAGGUAGCAUACUAUUCGUUUCGUUUAUAAUCCUUUGUCAUUUGUGCCAGGACAGACAGUUGGUCAAAUUGAGAGUUAGCAGAGGUAGGA